CCUAAGGUAGCGAAAUUCCUUGUCGGGUAAGUUCCGACCCGCACGAAAGGCGUAACGAUUUGGGCACUGUCUCAACGAGAGACUCGGUGAAAUCAUAGUACCUGUGAAGAUGCAGGUUACCCGCGACAGGACGGAAAGACCCCGUGGAGCUUUACUGUAGCCUGAUAUUGAAAUUCGGCACAGCUUGUACAGGAUAGGUAGGAGCCUUUGAAACGUGAGCGCUAGCUUACGUGGAGGCGCUGGUGGGAUACUACCCUAGCUGUGUUGGCUUUCUAACCCGCACCACUUAUCGUGGUGGGAGACAGUGUCAGGCGGGCAGUUUGACUGGGGCGGUCGCCUCCUAAAAGGUAACGGAGGCGCUCAAAGGUUCCCUCAGAAUGGUUGGAAAUCAUUCAUAGAGUGUAAAGGCAUAAGGGAGCUUGACUGCGAGACCUACAAGUCGAGCAGGGUCGAAAGACGGACUUAGUGAUCCGGUGGUUCCGCAUGGAAGGGCCAUCGCUCAACGGAUAAAAGCUACCCCGGGGAUAACAGGCUUAUCUCCCCCAAGAGUUCACAUCGACGGGGAGGUUUGGCACCUCGAUGUCGGCUCAUCGCAUCCUGGGGCUGUAGUCGGUCCCAAGGGUUGGGCUGUUCGCCCAUUAAAGCGGUACGCGAGCUGGGUUCAGAACGUCGUGAGACAGUUCGGUCCCUAUCCGUCGUGGGCGUAGGAAAUUUGAGAGGAGCUGUCCUUAGUACGAGAGGACCGGGAUGGACAUACCUCUGGUGUACCAGUUGUCGUGCCAACGGCAUAGCUGGGUAGCUAUGUGUGGACGGGAUAAGUGCUGAAAGCAUCUAAGCAUGAAGCCCCCCUCAAGAUGAGAUUUCCCAACUUCGGUUAUAAGAUCCCUCAAAGAUGAUGAGGUUAAUAGGUUCGAGGUGGAAGCAUGGUGACAUGUGGAGCUGACGAAUACUAAUCGAUCGAAGACUUAAUCAAAA
rnacentral:rRNA from 1 species